AAUUUAAAUCCUUGGUUUGAUAGGAUGAAUUAGUGGCCAAACCUAGAGAAGCCCAAAGCACAGAAGAAAGUGAUGGCAGCUCACAGGGAGAUGCCGACAACAGCUCUGCCACAUCUGAGAGAGACUGGUCUGCAGAGGGAUACAAUAAGCCGAAGGAAAUAAGGACAGCCACAGGCAUCACUGAUGCUGGGCUCAUCAUUGUCUUAUUUGGUGAAACAGGCUCAGUUGAGACGGGAACAAAAAACAUCUUAAUUGACCAUGAUGAGCAUACAAAGU